CCUCUCAUGGCGUAGUGGUAACGCGCCCCAACUAGAGAUCGGGGAGUCGUGAAUUCGAUUCUCUCUGAGAAGA
rnacentral:tRNA from 1 species